CUGAUCCAUAUGAAUUUCUCUUAUUAAGAAAAAUAAAGCAUCCAGGAUUCAAUGAAGAACUGUCUAUCACCUUGCUAAUCAUUCAGAAACAUGUUGCAGGCUUAAGCCAUUUUCGAUAUAGAUAUUGAAACAAUUACUUGCUAAGAGCAAACUUGAAGGUAUGGAUAAGGCCCUGAGUCAUCUUCCUGAACUGAAUGAUAGUUAAGCUGAAUGUACGUAUAAAAUAUGAUUUUUCUAACCACUUGCUCACCAACAAGGAAAACUUUUAAGUAGAGCAGAACCUGAAUAGACAAGACAUUUCUUUCUUUUGGUAGAAAAUGAUUUACCCUCACUGUCUAGUUAAUUGUAGACUAGGUAAUUUCAACUUUGUGAUUUAUUGCCAGAGACAUUUUCUUCUGUACUGUAAAGUGUGUGUC
rnacentral:lncRNA from 1 species